rnacentral:lncRNA from 1 species
GGGCGUGGCCUGGCCUUUCUUAGCUAUGGCAGCGGCGGCGGUAGCGGGCCAUUCGGCUCCAUCCCUAUCCAUGUUCAUCCUGGAUCUUGGAGACCUCCAGCCGGCGGCAAUGGAUAGGUUUCUGGUGUUAAACUUCCUUCUCAGACUCACCAUCAAGUAGCUCGUCCUAUACAAAACAGAAGAGUUGGAACUGUGGCCAAUAUGAGGAGAUUGCAUCGGAAAGGGUGCUGAUCACUGACUGACUGGGUCCUAGCAAUUGUUGCUUUGCUAGAUGGGAAUUGGCUUUUCAUCAGCUUUGAAUGGGACGGGGGAGCAUGGAGCCUUCUUCAAGAUCUCGAUACCUUUUGGAUAUCAGAACAAGUAAAUAAAUGAUGCUUAAUAAAUCUAAUUUUUACAAUAAUCCUGUUCUGUUUCACUUCUGUUCCCUAGAAUUUGUCAAAAUGGUAGUCAUCAGAACCAGUAGGUCAUGUAGGGUGGGAGUAGAAUGGAGAAAUUAUAUGCUGGCGUUUGAAGAUCCAAAAAGCAGAAGUAAAC